rnacentral:lncRNA from 1 species
CGACGAUCUUCACCUGCAUAUUUGAAUAAGUCAUCUUGAAAAUAGACUGGCACGCUGUAGUCAUCCAAAAGCUUUUUACGUCUGUGAUGCUGUUGAGGGAGAAAUAAUUGUACAAAAUUUCCAUAACGAUGAGUAGUUUAACAGGUUUAACCAAGGGUUUCAACCAUAUAACAAAGAAGGCAGGAUUCACCGUAAGCAGAAGCAAAAAGAAGCUUUAGACACCACAGAUGAUUGCAAUCGACGAUUCAGGGUGUGAUGAUCCAACGCCGAGUUAUGAGGGGUAUCGUAAUUCAACUUUUCCGCAACGCUCCAGAGUUAUUGCUGCCAUUGCCGUAUUUUUUAAUAUGAAAAUUUAACAGAAUAUUGUUCAAAUGUCACUAUAAUGUACCAUUGGUUUUUAAAAAUAAAUUGAAAUUAUUUCAUAAAAAAGUGCCUACUUCCCCCUUAAAAACACAGGGCACAGAAGAGCAGAGGAGGAAUGCAAGUUUUCGGUAACGAAGGUGGUGGUGGUGGGUGCAUCAUGCCCGCUUUAGGGGAUACUGGCCACCAUAUAUUUGUUACUUUACACCAGUUUUCUAAAAAAAAUAAAUAAUAUAUCCAGACCUCCCCAUGCAUAGGGAGCCCCCUUAAAUAAACUCAACCCAAAAUCAUGCCACUCACUGCAUGGUAAAGGGAUUCACAGACCACAGAUUAAAUUGCUAAAUUGCGUGACA